rnacentral:lncRNA from 1 species
AUGCGGGAUGGGUGUGGAAAGAAAAUAAUUUUCAAAAGUGCCCCUCGGCCGCCUGCGAAGGCAGAGGUGUCUCCGUGCGUGUGUGUGUGUGCGCCCCGGGAGGGAGGGACGGGGCGAGCACGGGAGAAACUUUUCCCCGCCCGUUUCCACUCCGCCGCCCCCUGCGGCCGAGGCAGUGCCGUGAGUGCGGGGCUCCGCCGCCCCCGCUCGGCAGAAGGGGAAGGGGUGCCUGGGGGAGGCUGUGGCAGCCCGCCGAGGGCGGGCAGGGAGCGGGAUGCACGCCCGUCGAGGCGGGGCGGGCCGCCCGGGAAAGCCGCGCUCUACCCGCCGCCCGUCACUGAGGGACGGCGCAGUGCCUGCCAGGCUCCGCGAGGAGCGCCUUCAAUGAUUUCGGUGUUGGUACAGCCACUUUGCUUGCUCAGAGGGCUAAAAGGUCUCAUCUGCUGUUCAAAGACGUGUGUGAAAUUUCCUGCACGAUGCAGUGUGAAACAAGCAGAGAGAGAAUAAGCAGGGGAGCCAGAUGAGAGCAUGGUGCCACAGCAGCUGUGUAUGGAAAAAAAAAUCAGGCAGCGGUUUGGAUACUGAGGUCUUCAGAGAAUACCAAAUGGAGGACGUACAGUAGUUGGCCUCUGCUACCAGUUCCUAGUUGGACAGCGGAAAAAAAACUCCAAGAGCAACUGAAAUGAGAACACAAUAAAACCUUAAAUCACUGUAGGCUCGGUACCUCA